CCUACGGGAGGCAGCAGUAGGGAAUUUUCGGCAAUGGGGGGAACCCUGACCGAGCAACGCCGCGUGAACGAAGAAGUUAUUCGUAAUGUAAAGUUCUUUUAACAGGGAAGAAAGAGAAAUUUGACGGUACCUGAAGCAUAAGCUCCGGCUAACUACGUGCCAGCAGCCGCGGGAAUACGUAGGGAGCGAGCGUAAUCCGGAAGUAUGGGGCGGAAUGGGGGCGGGGAGGGCAAAGUAAGUCUUUUGUAAAAAUGCUGUGCUCAACCCAGUAUGGCAAAAGAUACUGCAAAGCUAGAGUAUGACAGAGGCAAGUGGAACUACAUGUGUAGCGGUAAAAUGCGUAAAUAUAUGUAAGAACACCAGUGGCGAAGGCGGCUUGCUGGGUCGAUACUGACAUUGAGGCACGAAAGCGUGGGGAGCAAACAGGAUUAGAUACCCUAGUAGUC
rnacentral:rRNA from 1 species